UAGUGUAAUAUAACCUUUAAAAAGCACAUUUACUGCAGUGUCAAGGUCACAUGGAUUCGUCUGCAAGCGAGACAAGUAGAAAAUGAAUUUUAAUGAAUGUUUUGAUGAUUUGGGUGCUAAAAUAGAUGAGAGAUGUCAAUAUUUUGGUCCAAAUGGAUGUUUAAGGUGGUUUUUGACUGUUCCGGAUGGGUGGGGGACCUGGUAUGGACAAGCCUGACCGUUUGUCCUUGAGCCGUAGAUGGUCAACAAUCCGCUAGCUGUCUUGCUCUGACUGGUGCACUGGACAUGAUUUCAAUAGUUAGCCAGACCAUGAUUGAGCUUAAGGAUUGUGCUGCGGAUGCAGCCUGUGCAGUUCCGGGAGAAAGUCACUGUCUUGGGCAAUGCGGUCUGGUAUCAGGUCUGGAUGAUCCUUGCCUGACUGCGGGUUUGUGUACACCUCAAUCCGACUCUGUGUCCUGAACAGAGGCCGCAGUGGUGCAGCGCUUGUGGACAAUCCAUCAACAUCCUGAAAGGUCAACACUACACCAAGCUGGGAAAAUUGAUCCUGAUAGUCAUCCCCAGGCCUGACCGUUUGUCCUUGAGCCGUAGAUGGUCAACAAUCCGCUAGCUGUCUUGCUCUGACUGGUGCACUGGACAUGAUUUCAAUAGUUAGCCAGACCAUGAUUGAGCUUAAGGAUUGUGCUGCGGAUGCAGCCUGUGCAGUUCCGGGAGAAAGUCACUGUCUUGGGCAAUGCGGUCUGGUAUCAGGUCUGGAUGAUCCUUGCCUGACUGCGGGUUUGUGUACACCUCAAUCCGACUCUGUGUCCUGAACAGAGGCCGCAGUGGUGCAGCGCUUGUGGACAAUCCAUCAACAUCCUGAAAGGUCAACACUACACCAAGCUGGGAAAAUUGAUCCUGAUAGUCAUCCCCAGGCCUGACCGUUUGUCCUUGAGCCGUAGAUGGUCAACAAUCCGCUAGCUGUCUUGCUCUGACUGGUGCACUGGACAUGAUUUCAAUAGUUAGCCAGACCAUGAUUGAGCUUAAGGAUUGUGCUGCGGAUGCAGCCUGUGCAGUUCCGGGAGAAAGUCACUGUCUUGGGCAAUGCGGUCUGGUAUCAGGUCUGGAUGAUCCUUGCCUGACUGCGGGUUUGUGUACACCUCAAUCCGACUCUGUGUCCUGAACAGAGGCCGCAGUGGUGCAGCGCUUGUGGACAAUCCAUCAACAUCCUGAAAGGUCAACACUACACCAAGCUGGGAAAAUUGAUCCUGAUAGUCAUCCCCAGGUAGUGGAAUGAAUGUACACUGAACUACAGAGGAAUCACACCCAAAUGACUUUCCUGCCACGACAUUAGUGUGGCCACUCGCGUAGGAAUUCCUUAGCAAACGUGCUCUUUUGCAUGGUGACUGUGGGCAUUUUUGCAAAACUUACGCUUUCAACACUGGAUUUUAAAGAGAAUACUUAAUAAAAUGUCGCUAACAGGACUUAUUUAUAUGAGAGAGACUAUCUGGAUGCGCAUUAAGUGUCACUUUGUGUCGUAAGCUGUUGAAGGAGCGCUUUGCGCCUUUUUAAGUGUUAAUUUUGGGUAGCCGGCUUGUAUCGGCUUGAAAGCUGCAAAUUAUGCCUCUCAUCAUAAUAGCAUAAAUUUUUGUAAUUGCAAUGUGUAUGUUUAGAUUGUAAGUGAAGCUUUUAAUAAUAAUUUUCUUAAAAAACAUGAUUUUAUAUGCUGUCAGUGAGUUUUUUAUUGAAAAAAAUGCUUAAAAUUAAAAAAAAGUCUCCUAUUUCAUCAAGAAAAGUACACUGAUUCACAAUCAAUACAUUUAUUUGGGCCUUUUGCUGAUAUAUUGGUGAAUUUCGCAUGCAGUGAUACCAGUUUUUGCCAUAAAAGUUACGCGUAACAAUAAUUGGAGACACAAAAUCAGCUGUCGUCACUUAGACUAAAAAUCAUGCAUUCCGACUUGACUGCGGCCAAUUUAGUCACCGCUUUAAAUGGCCAUUUUAAGGCCUUUACCCCCAUCCGAAUGCACUGAAAUUGCAUAUUCAUUGUGGAAAUAGUUGAAAUCUCAUGUGGAGAAAGUUUGAAAAAGAUGGGACAAAGUUGAGUUCCCUUAAAGGUUACAUUACACUAAAUCAUUGUGUAUCCCUCCGUGGUCCAUUCGAAAGUAGUGCCUAUUUCUAAAGAGUUCCUUUUCUCUUCUUGAAUAUAAGCCAUUUAACAAUGUGAGACAUGUCUUUUGUGGUUAUUUGUAAUAUCCUGUAUGUGUCUGGAGUACUUUGAUGCCUUGGAUUGGAAGCUAACUUAAAAGAUGAACUUUUGAGGGUGUGUUUUCUAUUGUGUGGGGCUUUUGUCGAAAUUAGGAUUCCGAAACGCGUUUUUCUACGGUGGGUUCAUUCGACAGCGAUUUACUUUCUUAGAAGUUGCGAGACGGUAUGUUUUUGAUUGCAAUUAUUGGAAGAUGACAGAUCCAUCUUUAAAAUUAUACCAGGUUCGGAAAAAUUGAUACGUCGGAAAGGCAAUAAAAAUGCUGUGAAAGUUGUCAGUUUUAUAAUGGGACCCUAUGGGAAUCGGAAUUAGUGUAAUAUAACC